GGUUGAUCCUNGCCGGACCCGACUGCUCUUUGGGUGGGAUUAAGCCAUGCGAGUUGAAUGAAAUGCGUAUUCAUUUCAUAGCAAACUGCUUAGUAACACAUGAUCAACCUACCCUAUGGAGGGCACUAACCUCGGGAAACUGAGGAUAAUGGCCCAUAGCAGAUUCGGCUUGGAAAAGUGUAUCUGUGAAAGGGAUGCGGAUGAGUCCGCUUGUGCCAUAGGAUGGGAUUGUGGUCGAUUAGGUAGUUGGUGAGGUAAUGGCUCACCAAGCCGAUAAUCGAUAGAGGCCGUGAGAGCGGGAGCCUCAAGAUGGGUACUGAGACAGCGACCCAGGCCCUACGGGGCGCAGCAGGCGCGAAACCUCCACAAUGCACGCAAGUGCGAUGGGGCUACCCAAAGUGCUCCACACGGAGCUGUGGUGGAUGAGUAAUGUUCUCCGCUAGAAAGGAGAGGGCAAGGCUGGUGCCAGCCGCCGCGGUAAAACCAGCUCUUCAAGUGGUCGGGAUAAUUAUUGGGCUUAAAGUGUCCGUAGCCGGUAUGGUAAGUUCCUGGUAAAAUUGGGCAGCUUAACUGUCCUUGUGCUAGGGAUACUGCUCUACUAGAGGGCGGGAGAGGUCUGAGGUACUACAGGGGUAGGGGUGAAAUCUUAUAAUCCUUGUAGGACCACCAGUGGCGAAAGCGUCAGACUGGAACGCGCCUGACGGUGAGGGACGAAAGCCAGGGGAGCGAACCGGAUUAGAUACCCGGGUAGUCCUGGCCGUAACGAUGCGCACUAGGUGAUGGUGCGGCUAUGAGCCGCAUCAGUGUCGUAGGGAAACCGUUAAGUGUGCCGCCUGGGAAGUACGGUCGCAAGGCUUAAACUUAAAGGAAUUGGCGGGGGAGCACCACAAGGGGUGAAGCCUGCGGUUCAAUUGGACUCAACGCCGGGCAACUUACCAGGGGAGACAGCAGAAUGAGGGUCAGGUUGACGACCUUACCUGACAAGCUGAGAGGAGGUGCAUGGCCGUCGCCAGUUCGUGCUGUGAGGUAUCCUGUUAAGUCAGGCAACGAACGAGACCCGCACCUUUAUUUGCCAGCAAGAAGUCACGACUUCGUUGGGAACGAUAAAGGGACCGCCGUCGAUAAGACGGAGGAGGGAGCGGGCAAAGGCAGGUCAGUAUGCCCCGAAACCCCUGGGCCACACGCGGGCUGCAAUGGUGCGAACAAUGGGCUGUGACUCCGAAAGGAGAAACCAAUCCCGAAAUCGCAUCUCAGUGGGGAUUGUCGACUGUAACUCGUUGACAUGAACGUGGAAUCCCUAGUAAUCGCGCGUCACCAUCGCGCGGUGAAUACGUCUCUGCUCCUUGCACACACCGCCCGUCGCUCCACCCGAGUGUGCUGGAAAUGAGGCACGGUCAGCAAUGGUCGCGUCGAGUUCUAGCAUGCGAGAGGAA
rnacentral:rRNA from 1 species